rnacentral:lncRNA from 1 species
AUGGAGAGAACAAAACGAUUGUUCCUGGAGUCAGUACCCACAAGUCUACAUUUAACAGCUGAACGUGAGGGAAAACGUCUGAUUUCACUUUUUACCAAGAAAGCGCGUGUUCUCAGGAUAACCAAGUUAGCGCUGCAGCCCCACCUGCGACCACGGCGCUUCAGCUCCAGGGCCGGACCCGCAGAGCCGCACGCCCCGACCCCGCAGGCUGGCCGGGCGGUGGCUCCUCCAGGCCCUCCAGCCAACGGCAGCGCGGCACGUGCGGCCGCCCCGCGGGCUCGGCGGCAGGACAGCGCUCAGGCCGCCGGCCCAGCUCCACCCGCCCCUCCUCCUCCCUCAGGGGUCAGAGCCCGCCGCGGCCCACGCGGAGCUGUCGGUGGAAGGAAGCGACAUGCCACCGCCGCCACCACUACAACCACCACCAGCACUGCCCCCACAACUACGGCCACCGCAGCAACCACCACCUUCACCGCCCCUGCAACUACAACCACCACCACCGUCACCGCCCCACAACUACAACCACCACCACCGUCACCGCCCCUCAACUACAACCACCACCACCGUCACCGCACCUACGACUACAACCACCACCACCUUCACCGCCCCUACAACUACAUCCACCACCACCACCGUCACCGCCCCUACAACUACAUCCACCACCACCGUCACCGCCCCUACAACUACAACCACCACCACCGUCACCGCCCCUACAACUACCAACCACCACCACCACCGCCACCACCACCACCCCUACAACUACCACCGACACCACCCCCCUACAACUACAACCACCGCAACUACAACCACCACCGUCAUCGCCACCAUACCGCCACCAGCACCGCCGCCGCCGCCGCCACACACGCCAGGCGCUGCAGAGGUGGCCCCCAGACCGGGCCCGGAUGGCAGGACGGCGGGAGGCGUCCUGGCACCUGCUCGCCCCCAGACCGGCUCUCGCCCCAAGACUCCCGACGGGGCAGCGGCGCAGCCCGUCUUACUUCGGACGCGACUCGGUUACCCUGGAAAAGCCGACUGCGUCCGCGCCCGAGGGACCGCCGAGCCCGCGCUCACCUGCGCCCGGGCGCUCACCUGCGGCCGCCCCUCGCCGCGCCCGCGCCGGCCUCCCGCCGCCACAGCGCGGGCCGCCGCCGAGGAGACGCCGCCAACUUCUGGGCCCGCGCGCGGGCGGGCGCCCGGGAGCCGCAUUGUCCGCGGCCGGCGGGCGGAGGCCGGCGCCGUCCCGGCCGCGGCGGGUCUUUGUCCCGCCGCUCGGCCGCUGACAGCUGA